rnacentral:rRNA from 1 species
GACGAACGCUGGCGGCGUGCUUAACACAUGCAAGUCGAACGGAAAGGCCCUGCUUUUGUGGGGUGCUCGAGUGGCGAACGGGUGAGUAACACGUGAGUAACCUGCCCUUGACUUUGGGAUAACUUCAGGAAACUGGGGCUAAUACCGGAUAGGAGCUCCUGCUGCAUGGUGGGGGUUGGAAAGAUUCGGCGGUUGGGGAUGGACUCGCGGCUUAUCAGCUUGUUGGGGGGGUAGUGGCUUACCAAGGCUUUGACGGGUAGCCGGCCUGAGAGGGUGACCGGCCACAUUGGGACUGAGAUACGGCCCAGACUCCUACGGGAGGCAGCAGUGGGGAAGAUUGCACAAUGGGCGGAGGCCUGAUGCAGCAACGCCGCGUGCGGGAUGACGGCCUUCGGGUUGUAAACCGCUUUCGCCUGUGACGAAGCGUGAGUGACGGUAAUGGGUAAAGAAGCACCGGCUAACUACGUG